rnacentral:rRNA from 1 species
CCUACGGGGGGCUGCAGUGGGGAAUAUUGCGCAAUGGGCGAAAGCCUGACGCAGCGACGCCGCGUGAGGGAUGAAGGUCCUCGGAUCGUACACCUCUGUCAGCAGGGAAGAACGGUCACUGUGCUAAUCAGCAGUGAAUUGACGUUACCUGCAAAGGAAGCACCGGCUAACUCCGUGCCAGCAGCCGCGGUAAUACGGAGGGUGCGAGCGUUAAUCGGAAUUACUGGGCGUAAAGCGCUCGUAGGCGGUAUGUCAAGUCAAGGGUGAAAUCCCCGCGCUCAACUUGGGAACUGCCUUUGAAACUGGCAAACUGGAGUGUGUGAGAGGAUAGUGGAAGUCCAGGUGUAGGAGUGAAAUCCGUAGAUAUCUGGAGGAACAUCAGUGGCGAAGGCGACUAUCUGGCACAUAACUGACGCUGAGGAGCGAAAGCGUGGGUAGCAAACAGGAUUAGAUACCCGGGUAGUC